AACGUAGGAGGCAAGCGUUAUCCGGAUUUACUGGGCGUAAAGCGUGCGUAGGCGGGUUGGUAAGUGGGUGGUGAAAGCGCUCGGCUAAACCGGGCGAGUGCCAUCCAGACUGCCAGUCUAGAGGCGGAUAGAGGGGUGCGGAAUUCCGGGUGUAGCGGUGAAAUGUGUAGAGAUCCGGAGGAACACCAGUGGUGCAAACGGCGCCCUGGGUCCGAACUGACGCUGAUGCACGAAAGCGUGGGGAGCGAACGGG
rnacentral:rRNA from 1 species